CCUGAUAUUUACCUCCUGAUUUAAAUCGGAGUAAACCAAAGUUUUACGCCCGAUCCAACCCGAUCCAACUACGAUUAGGUUGAAUCAGGUUCAGUUCAACCCGAUUACUUGCGAAUUAUUGAAGCAAAAUAUAACCCGAAUUUACCCCUCCCGCCGAGUUUCUGGAAAAUAUGACCGAAAAAACUCUGGCCCUAUACAUGAACAAUGAAAAGACUUUUUAGAGGGUGUACAAUGUGUAUUAAAAGCGAUAGAAAACCCCAGUGCAAGGGGAGAACAAGAAGGACGACAGACAGACAACACAGCACUGUACUACCACCCAAAAACUUUUAUUCCUGAAACAUCCCCCGUUUUUAUAGUACAGCAACCCUCUACCCUUCCCUCUCCUGUCGAACAAUCCAGAACCGCCGAGCAGCACUUAGGUCACGAGAAAAUUCAUCACCUUAUUGGAAAAGAACAGAGGGGUUACUGAUACAACUCAACCACACUUUUCUUAUCUCUACGGCCUCUCUGUACAACAAACAACCAGAUUUGCUACUCUUAAAAAUGUUAGUAAAGAAUGCUACGCACCCAACACAUGUGGCUAAAUGUUCCCCCGAAGUACUAUACUUGAUUAGAUAUGUUCGAAUGAUGUUCUUUUAAUCUUGUAUUAACACGCCGGGAAGUCUCACACUAUACACACCCAAUUUGACAGUUCACAAAUUUAUUGCCAUGCUUAAUGUGACACCCUUUUCUAACAUCCUGAUUGACUUGACUGAUCAAAGAAUCCAACCGAUAGCCUCUUUGAAAAACUACCUCAAUACCAUACAGUUUUGAAUAUAUUUUUUAACCUGUUUGAGGCUGUGUGCGCAUAAUCUGUGACCCCGAAUUUUUUUGGUUCUUCCCUUCCGGCUUUCAAUUGCGCUCCAGAUUUCACACGUUUCAAAACCCUGCCUACAACAUCGUAUAUGACCCCGCCCGGAUUCUAACUUUUUUCUGUAUAAUGCGUAUUUCGUUGCACUCUUAGAUCAUCCAUAACAACUUCAAAGGACUCAAAUCUAUUUCCAUUUUAAAGGUUAUAAGCCUAAGAAUUCUACAGCCUUAUUUUUUAUGUUCUAUCCAAUCUGUGUGCAUAUAGGAACCUGCACACUUUUUUUUGUUUUGCAGCUGCCGUCAAGACUUCACAGAAGUGCAGCGAACACUCAGUUGAAAGUGUAGUCAAAGACUGGCUCCGCCAUGCACCCGCAAGAAGUCGGGACACAGCCAAGAGCUCUUCGGCUCACCAAAGGGCUCACAGAGGAGUGAACUAAAGUUAUCCGCCAUGCCGCCACAGACAACGGUACUCGACUGUGCACUACUACCGUACCCCAGCUCUGAUGCUCUUUUUUAGCAUUUUUCGCUGUGGGACAUUUUUGCUGUUUGCCCAGUAUUUUUUGGAUAUCCUCUGUGCUGGUAACUGCUGCUCCUAGGAACCCUACACUCAGAACCAAGCUAGUCUUUAGUGAAAAUGUUUUAUAAUGUUUUUAUAUACACAUUAUCUCCAACCCACACAAACAAAGGAGUACAAAGUGAUGUACUACAUUUUAAAUAUAUGUGCAAUUAUAUAUACA